UACGGAGGGUGCAAGCGUUAUCCGGAUUUACUGGGCUUAAAGGGUGCGUAGGUGGGCGAGAAAGUCAGUGGUGAAAUCUCCGGGCUUAACCCUGAAACUGCCAUUGAUACUAUUUGUCUUGAAUACUUUGGAGGUAAGCGGAAUAUGUCAUGUAGCGGUGAAAUGCUUAGAUAUGACAUAGAACACCAAUUGCGAAGGCAGCUUACUACACAGUAAUUGACACUGAGGCACGAAAGCGUGGGGAGCAAACAGG
rnacentral:rRNA from 1 species